UCGUUUAAGGGGCUGUGAAAUG
rnacentral:miRNA from 9 species